rnacentral:lncRNA from 1 species
UGUGUGUGUGUGUCUUAUUUUUGUCUUCGCUCUGUAGCCACAUGGCUGUGUUCCCUUUCUGUUUGUUUUCCCAUUUCCCUUCUAAAUAUUUUGCAUCAUCUGGGAGACUUUGCCAGGCCGAGGUCGGCUCGCUGGAGGACUGCAUUCCUCUGAUCUGUGGCAUUAGGUUGUUGCCAUGGCAAAGGCUGCUUACCAGGAGGAACACUUCUCGGAGCUGGGCAAUUCCGAGCUCGUUUCUUCCUCUCCUGCACAUGCUUGGCUAUUCUGACAGCCACACCGGCCCAGAGAGGGCUUUCUCCAAUCGUAAACUAUGUUCCUGGAACGUGAACUUCAUUUUGUUUGCCUUUCAAGAUACAGAAGUAUUUGGUUCUGUUUAUUUUUGUUCCAGAUGGGCAGGGCCCUCUUGCCUGUUCUGACUAAUCCACUCGUCAGGGCUGGAAUCUCCUAACAGUUCCUUCCUCCAGAUGCAGGGCACUAAUUACUGUCACCAUGAAGGGCACUUGACUAGGAGCCACUGUCGAAUUAGCCUAUGAGUGCCAGGAAUCAAACCUAGGACCUCAACGCCAGUUAACAUGCCAUACUCUCCCACCAUUGAACAAUAUCCAGAGACUGCUGACACAUCUUUCUUUGUGCUCACACAAGUUCAUAUGCAGGGAGGGGUGCCAAGGAAGUGACAAGGCCUAGGAUGGAGGCCCAGUGGAAGACAGCAGAGUGGACAGAAUGACAGAAAUUCAUGGGAGACGACUCUGGUUGGAUGGCAGUCCCGUUUACAUCUACAGAGACUCAGUUGUUUUCAAUUAUUGCUCCGGCAUUCCUGAUUGCUCACCUUUUUCUAGGAAACUACUGGGGCUGAACUUCAGAUGCUGGGACCAGAGAAGUGGCUCGGCAGUUAAGAGGACCUGGCAGCUCUUCCAGAGGACCUGUGUUUGAUUCCCAGAACUCCUAUGGUAGCUCAAAACCGUGUGUCUCCAAUCAUAGGGAGUCCAGCGUCCUCGUCUGGCCUCCAUGAGCACUGCAUGCAUAAGGUGCACAAACAUAAAUGCCAGCAAAAAUAAAAAUCCGUACACAGGGCAAUGAAGCUACUUAAGUCUGGAGUUUACCAAUUUCAUGGAAAAUUCUAAGCUCUUUGAAAUAAAAAUAAGGAGCUGAUCCAUUACUUGUGGAAAUACGGAUUCCUCUUGCCAUUACUCUUUAAGGCUGGCCUGGCUACUUCCCAAAAUAGGAUCAGAGCUCCAAGGAAGCAGAGAGAGACAAGCAAGGUCUGUUGAAGCCCAAGCCUGGAACUGACACUAGCCCAUUCAAUACCUCAAAUUGGACCAAGGAAAUAACAGCAGUACAGACAAAGGGGAGGAAAACGACUGCAUUUUUCUUGGGAAGGACUGCAAAGAGUUAUGGAAUUCUUGUAAUUAACCAGUAAAGAGACGUACACCAAUCCCCCACCCUGAUCCAUGACACUCUCUAAUCAGUAGUUCAUGAUGAGAACCUAACCCAGCUUUGAAAAGGAAAAUAAUUAAAUCCAGUAUUGUAGCACAUCCCGGGUACUGGGCUGGAAAGAAGUAUUUCUUUGUGUUCAGCAAAGCACCGCUAGCAAUAAUCUGCUGAAGUACGUCAUUGCGAAAUUCUUGAUGAUGCCAUCAGGUGCUUAGUAAAUGGUGUGAUGAUCUCUGCACCGUUUACUUCCCUGUACACUGAUUUUGUGAUAAUGGUGUUAUCGAUGAUAAUGAUUUGUUUUCUAUGUGUAGGCUACAGACAUGGUGCGUUAAAACGUUAGUUUCAAUUAUACUCUUACUCUCUGUCUACUGGCACGCUCAGUUGAGGAUGGGGAUAUGGUAACGUUUAGACUCUAAACUUUAGAGGGUUCAGUAACUAUCAGUUAUGCACCUAGAGGAAGCAAGCACCAAGAACAAACUUCAAGAUAUAUUAAAAAUCCUGAUACAAUUCUGGGCCUCUGCACAUGUAUUUAUUAGUGCUAAGAGGCACCUAAGUAUCCUUAACAGAGAAUUAAAAAAAAAAAAGUCAGCAAUUACAGAGCACUAUUGGCAUCUCACAGAUUAGUUUAUCAAAACCAAAGAUGGGGAGGGGAAAAAAACCUGUCGAAAUCAACAGGCAAGUAUCAAAGCUGGGACUGAAAUGUGCAUGUGGAAACACUAAGCUCUGUAUUGCUUCCCUUAAACUUCUGUGUUACAGAAGAGUAUGGCAGUGGUCAAUGCCCUCUGACUGAAUUCAUCUGGUUCUUAGAAUCACACGAAAUAACAAUUCUAUUGCCUUGUUUUUGGCAUCUAAAGAAUGUGGAAUUGGACUAAGUAUGUUUUGUCUCCCCUUCCCUUACAUUUGGGCCUAUUUCUUUUUGGACACUUGUAUCCUAUUAGCACUGACAUAUUUUAACACUUGCACUAUGGCCUGAACACUUCUGUAACAAACUCUGAAUUUGUUGUAAUAUUUAAUAGGACACACUUUGUAGCCUAUCUUCAAAAAAAUCUCAUGCAGUUCUACAUUUCUUCACGCAACAUGGAAGGAACGUAGACUGGCUGAGAGGAAUUUGGAAAGAUCUAUGUCUCAAAGUUAGCAGAACACUGACUGGAUUAAAAACGGGACCUCUGAAAAAUCAAGAAAGACAGACUGCAAAGGUCACAGCCUUCUAGAAGACCCAAAGACUAUCUGAUUUGAAAGCAGUGCUCAGAACUUGCCUGGGAUACUACUGCAGUAUAGAUUCUCAACAAAGGAAACAUUUUCAGAAAUGAACUCUCAAGUCCGUACUCACCAGUCCCACUACUGUACACAUUAGAAUGCCAUUCCAAUGUUGAAUUAAAGAUGUGUCACUGCCACCACCUGGUCCAUACUGGGCGUCGGAGGGGCUCAGUCCCGCGUCCGCGAUCUCCGCUGCGGGAACUCCGGCGCCGCUGCCGCUGCUACUCAGCAUGGGCACUCGAACUUCCGCAGCCCGGUUCGGCAGCGGCUGGGACCUGGAACAAAGAGGCCCUGGCAGCCAAUGGCAGCGGGGCAGUGCCGGGUAGCGGCCAAUCAGCGCGCGCCGCACGCACCUUCGCAGCCAGAGCGUGCCGCUAGCAAGGUGAGGGGCGGGGCCGCGAGGGGCGGGGCCCUGCGGAGUUCCCU